CUCUCUCUCUCUCUCUCUCUCUCUCUCUCAUUCCGCCGUUUCUUUUCUUUCUUCUUUCACUCUCAAACUAUCACACAAAAACUCAAACCCUAAUAUAAUGGAUUUGCCUCCGCUGAGACCACCACCACCACCAACGUAAAUCCCUCUAUCUUCAUUCUUCGUUUCGUUCUUCAAUUUCGCCGCUGAUAUUGUUGAUAAAAAAAAUAUAACCACUCAUGAUUUAAGCUUUUCAGUCAAAGGGUUUGAGAAUCUUCAUUCUCUUUUCCAGAUCUGUUCUUAAAGUUGAGAGGGUUUGAGAAUCUUCAUUCUCUUUUCCAGAUCUGUUCUUAAAGUUGAGAGGAGAUCUGUGGCUCUUGCUAUAAAUUCUUCACUUUAUGAUAGAAGAACAGAUUCAUGAAUUGGUGAACAAACUGGUUAAAGAGCAUGUAAUCAUUGACCUUGAAUUGAAUAUCAGUAUCAAUAAGAGAUGCAUUUGGACGAAUUAAUGAGUUUCCCAUGCUUUGAGACAUAAAUCCCAAUUUCAAGCUUCAAGACUUUUAUGAAUUAUAGUGAUGUAAUGCUUAUUAAUACUCAGAAAAAAUGAUUCAACAAUAUUUAAUAUAAGGCCCAAUUUUGAUGGUUAUUGGCCAAAAAAGAGAAAAAACUCAUCUGGACUGUUAUAAGAAAUAAAGCUCAAUAAAAGAAAAAAA